UGGGGAAUUUUGGACAAUGGGCGAAAGCCUGAUCCAGCAAUGCCGCGUGUGUGAAGAAGGCCUUCGGGUUGUAAAGCACUUUUGUCCGGAAAGAAAUCCUUGGCUCUAAUACAGUCGGGGGAUGACGGUACCGGAAGAAUAAGCACCGGCUAACUACGUGCCAGCAGCCGCGGUAAUACGUAGGGUGCAAGCGUUAAUCGGAAUUACUGGGCGUAAAGCGUGCGCAGGCGGUUUGCUAAGACCGAUGUGAAAUCCCCGGGCUCAACCUGGGAACUGCAUUGGUGACUGGCAGGCUAGAGUAUGGCAGAGGGGGGUAGAAUUCCACGUGUAGCAGUGAAAUGCGUAGAGAUGUGGAGGAAUACCGAUGGCGAAGGCAGCCCCCUGGGCCAAUACUGACGCCCAUGCACGAAAGCGUGGGGAGCAAACAGGAUUAGAUACCCUGGUAGUCCACGCCCUAAACGAUGUCAACUAGUUGUUGGGGAUUCAUUUCCUUAGUAACGUGAGCUAACGCGUGAAGUUGACCGCCUGGGGAGUACGGUCGCAAGAUUAAAACUUAAAUG
rnacentral:rRNA from 1 species